rnacentral:misc_RNA from 1 species
GAAAUGCGAUAAGUAAUGUGAAUUGCAGAAUUCAGUGAAUCAUCGAAUCUUUGAACGCACAUUGCGCCCGCCAGCACUCUGGCGGGCCUGCCUGUUCGAGCGUCAUUUCAACCCUCAGAACCCCUUGCGGGAUCUGGCGUUGGGGAUUGGCAUCCAGCCAGCCCCGAAAUCUAGUGGCGGUCCCUCCGCGACCUCCCCUGUGCAGUAGCGAUACCUCGCAGCGGGACAGCGGUCUGACCACGCCGUAAAACCCCCAACUUCUCAAGGUUGACCUCGAAUCAGGUAGGAAUACCCGCUGAACUUAAGC